ACACAAUUCCUCUGGGCUAUUGUUAUUUCAACAAAAGAGGGGGAGGAGAGGCUCAGCGAGUCACUCUGUGGCUUUCUGGCAUUUCCAGGAAAAAGAUGGAGUUGCCAGCUUCACCCCACAUCAACCAAAUCUACAGGAGCUCUUCAGAAUCAACCCUUUCAAAUAUGAACACCAUCAUUUCACUGAUGGACCUGCCCCAAAUCUCCUCUGUGGAGAGGAAAAUUAUUUUCCUUACAAAACUGCAGUCCUGCCACUGAACUUAUUGCCAAAAUCUGAAGUCUUCCUUGCUCUUUCAUGGGAUUUUACUGACCCAGAGCAGUGUGUGAUGGUGCUGGAUAAGAAAUGUGGAUAUGCUGCAGAAACUAUUGCAGAAUCAAGAAGAAGCAGCAGGUGAAGAAAUGGAUGGUGUCUUCAUCAAUAGAAAGCAAAACAUAAUUGAAAUUAAAUGCACAUCUGCCAGUGAUGGUUGAGGUAAUGUAAAAUUAUUAAUAUUGACAAGAGACCAUAUUCUGCCUUGGCUGGCAGGUGAAGUCACAGAGACAAGAGUUGUAGCAUCAGCUUUGGUUAAGAUAUU